UCUCUGCUGAGCACUGUCCUCAUUUUCCAUAUUCUCCCUUCUCUCCUCAGCUAUCCUCAUCCUCUUCCCGACCUCGGUCCUGUGAAGUCCCUGGAAUUAACAUCUUUCCAUCUCCUGACCAGCCUGCCAAUGUGCCUGUCCUCCCACCUGCCAUGAACACGGGGGGCUCCCUACCUGACCUCACCAACCUGCACUUUCCCCCACCAC
rnacentral:lncRNA from 1 species